rnacentral:rRNA from 1 species
UACGAAGGGUGCAAGCGUUAGUCGGAAUUACUGGGCGUAAAGCGUGCGUAGGCGGUUUCUUAAGUCGGAUGUGAAAGCCCUGGGCUCAACCUGGGAAUGGCACUCGAUACUGGGAAGCUGGAGUACGGUAGAGGAAGGUGGAAUUCCCGGUGUAGCAGUGAAAUGCGUAGAGAUCGGGAGGAACAUCUGUGGCGAAGGCGACUGCCUGGACCAGCACUGACACUGAGGCACGAAAGCGUGGGGAGCAAACAGG